GGUAACCAAAGAUAACAGCUGGGCUAGUUGUUGGAUUUGUUAUAACACGAACAUCUCCACCGCCGGGCGCCCAAGUAUCAUAAACCCCACCAAAGUAAAGAGCUUUCCAAACAAGGAGCCAAGCACCAAUACCUAAGAUUAUUAAAUGAAUACCUAGGAUAGUGGUCAUUUUAUUUUUAUCACGCCA
rnacentral:antisense_RNA from 1 species